rnacentral:lncRNA from 1 species
CCCCAUGCAUGUGACAAGCUCAUGAUCAAUUCUGUUUAAGGUUUUUAGGGAACUUGAAGAACCUGAUCAGUGUUAUUUGAACACAUCUGACCCAUUGCUCAAGCCUACAAGUGGCAGCUCCAGCCAGUUCUUUUUUUUUCUUUUUCUUUUUCUUUUCCUUUUUCUUUCUUUUUCUUUCUUUCUUUUUCUUUUUUCUUUCUUUUUCUUUUUUCUUUCUUUCUCUUUCUUCCUUUCAUCUCUUCCUUCCUUCCUCUUUCUUCUUUCUUUUUUCUUCUUUCUUUUUUCUUCUUCUUCUUUCUUUCUUUUCUUUUCUUUUUCUUUUUUUUUCUUUUUCUUUUUUCUUUCUUUCUUCUUUCUUUCUUUCUUUCAUCUCUCCCUUCCUUCCUCUUUCUUUCUUUUUUCUUUCUUUCUUCUUUCUUUUUCUUUUCUUUUCUUUUUUCUUCUUCUUUCUUUCUUUCUCUUUCUUUCUUCUUUCUUUUUCUUCUUUCUUUCUUUCUUUCUCUUUCUUUCAUCUCUCUCUUCCUUCCUCUUUCUUUCUUUCUUUCUUUCUCUUUUUUCUUUCUUUCUUUUUCUUCUUUCUUUCUUUCUCUUUCUUUCAUCUCUCCCUUCCUUCCUCUUUCUUUCAUUUCUUUCUUUCUUUCUUUCUUUUCUUUCUUCUUUCUUUCUCUUUCUUUCUUUCAUCUCUCCCUUCCUUCCUCUUUCUUUCUUUCUUUCUUUCUUUCUUUCUUUCUUUCUUAUUGGCUUCCCUUCCCUUUUAAAAGCCCCCACCUGCACUGAGAUGGGGAAAUAGUUUAGGGGACAUUAGUCUGCCAUCUUCUUGGUUAGCAGGCUUUCUUGAAUAAAACCUAUUACCUUGCCCCAACCCCUUGUCUCUUGACUAAUUGGCCUGUCCUGCAGGGAGCAGAACAGAUCGGGCCCGGAUCCCAUUACAAUUUUGGGAAGCCAGCCAUCAGUGUGCUGCUCGUGGUGGGCCGGCUGCUGGGGAGAAUUUGGGGAUGUUCCCG